AUGAUUUCAAAGAUACAUUGCUUUUUAGCAGGUGCUAUUGCAGUUGGAAUGUCAGAAAAAGUAAUGCUUCACCACAUCUGUAAAAGAGAAAUAACUUGUUUGAUGUUUUCCAUAAAGGAGAGGAUGCUUUCAGAAUGUGGAAGCAAUAAUAGAGGAGGAAACUGGAUGUUCUGUAACGUGUUGUAACUGUUCUCAUUAGAAGAUAUUCCCAGCUGUAGGAUAGAACAAGAAGGCCAGGUAGACUUUGAAGCUGACACUGGGAAACGUGCAUUCAGGAAUUUGAUUAACCUACAGGUAAUUAAUUAUUUGUAGUUAAAUUUUGUCCUGCUCCACCUUGGCAGU
rnacentral:lncRNA from 1 species